AUUGAACGCUGGCGGCAGGCCUAACACAUGCAAGUCGAACGAGUGGCGGACGGGUGAGUAAUGUCUGGGCAACUGCCUGGUGGAGGGGGAUAACUACUGGAAACGGUAGCUAAUACCGCAUACCAUCAGAUGUGCCCAGAUGGGAUUAGCUAGUUGGUGGGGUAAAGGAUCACAAAGGCGACGAUCCCUAGCUGGUCUGCGCGGAGGACCAGCCACACUGGAACUGAGACACGGUGCAGACGCCUACGGGAGGCAGCAGUGGGGAAUAUUGCACAAUGGGCGCAAGCCUGAUGCAGCCAUGCCGCGUGUAUGAAGAAGGCCUUCGGGUUGUAAAGUACUUUCAGCGGGGAGGCGUUACCCGCAGAAGAAGAACCGGCUAACUCCGUGCCAGCAGCCGCGGUAAUAC
rnacentral:rRNA from 1 species